rnacentral:rRNA from 1 species
UACGUAGGGGGCAAGCGUUGUCCGGAAUCAUUGGGCGUAAAGAGCGUGUAGGCGGCUUGGUAAGUCCGCUGUGAAAGUCCAGGGCUCAACCCUGGAAAGCCGGUGGAAACUGUCAAGCUUGAGUCCGGAAGAGGCGAGUGGAAUUCCUGGUGUAGCGGUGAAAUGCGCAGAUAUCAGGAGGAACACCAAUGGCGAAGGCAGCUCGCUGGGACGGUACUGACGCUGAGACGCGAAAGCGUGGGGAGGC